rnacentral:rRNA from 1 species
GAUGAACGCUGGCGGCGUGCCUAAUACAUGCAAGUCGAGCGAACGGACGAGAAGCUUGCUUCUCUGAUGUUAGCGGCGGACGGGUGAGUAACACGUGGAUAACCUACCUAUAAGACUGGGAUAACUUCGGGAAACCGUAGCUAAUACCGGAUAAUAUUUUGAACCGCAUGGUUCAAAAGUUAAAGACGGUCUUGCUGUCACUUAUAGAUUGAUCCGCGCUGCAUUAGCUAGUUGGUAAGGUAACGGCUUACCAAGGCAACUAUGCAUAGCCGACCUGAGAGGGUGAUCGGCCACAAUGGAACUGAGACACGGUCCAGACUCCUACGGGAGGCAGCAGUAGGGAAUCUUCCGCAAUGGGCGAAAGCCUGACGGAGCAACGCCGCGUGAGUGAUGAAGGUCUUCGGAUCGUAAAACUCUGUUAUUAGGGAAGAACAUAUGUGUAAGUAACUGUGCACAUCUUGACGGUACCUAAUCAGAAAGCCACGGCUAACUACGUG